CUGCUGGGGAGGCAACACAAGUCCUAAAUACAAACUUAUUUCAAAAGCGUAACGUGUCAGUCUACCCUCUCCCUGGAACUUCAUUAAAGGCACUGGACAGAUGCCAGCAGGGAGGAAAAGCAGACUGGAGAAGAGUUCCACAUUGUGUAUCAGACAGCAGUGGCCUGGAGGCAAGAAAAACAAGCCAGAGAUCACAAGUGAGUUCAUUGAGACAAGAAGAGGGCAUGGCAGGAUAUCCUGAGCAGACACAGCAUCAAUCUCUACUCCAACACUGUCUUCACUUGUUCUGCCUCACUAUUAUCCCUGCUUAUGUAAUAAGUCGUGAGCACAUACCACAACAGUAGGUACACAAAAUGUAAUAAUCCAAUGCAAUCUGAGAUUAAUAGGUUAGUAUUGUUUGUUGUGCAUCAUAAUAAAAUGUUAGGACCCUCACAUCUAAUAGGAAAAACAACAUAUAGUGCAGUUAAAACACGAAUAGGCACACAAGUAAGCAUAUUGUCAAAUCAGUCAAGGUUGACAAUGUUGUAAAUAUAGUUUUUUCCAAACAGAGAACUUGUUUGAACUUGUAACAGUCUUUUAUAUUGAAUGAUCCAAUGAUUUUACGGCAAAACUGUGCAAAAUGGAAGACCUCAAGUGCCCCUAGGUCAUUUGGCGUACGGUCCCUUUAAAAAAGUGGAGUGGAUGAGAUGUCCCCCCACCCCCACCCCUUCACCAUUUCCCCCCUGAGGCGUUGGGGGGGGGGGGGUUGAGGGCUUUGUUUAAAAAUUGCACACUCCAAUCUGCUGCAAGAUGCUGACAUCAGCAGCAGCCGGGCUGGAGGUCAGCUGGGGUCAAGGCUGUCAGUCACCCGCUGCAAAGUCAUAACAGACGCUGGCUGCUGCCGAGGUGCAACAGAACAGGAAAAAAAAAAAAACAGAGAAGAUACACAAUAUUUGAUAUUAGUUACUAUAUUAAUAUAUAUAUAAUACAUAGUAUAUAUGUAUUAGUAUUAGUUACGAUAUUACUAACUUUGUAGUUACAGCACACUUUUAAUUGGUACAUGUCGACAUGCAGUUACUUUGGGUGUGUGCUUCACAGUUAUUAUUAAUUUCCACAGAUAAAUUAAGUUGUCUUCUUUGUGCGCAUGCAUCACUCUCGUAAUACUAA